UUCAAAUCUCUUUAAAAUACUUCUGCCCUUGGCUUCUUUCUCCGCAAGAAAAGAAAAUAGCCGUUCGUCUCUUCCACGGUCGGAAGGCACCAAAUCUCUGCCGGCGGCGGUUGUUUCCGUUCCUAUUUUCUUCCUCAGUUUCUACUCUCUUCUUCUCAAACAUUCUCAAAAGGCAAUGCAGUCCGGCCGACGGAGUUUUUUUUUUCGUAAAAGGAAGAAGAAUAAACUUGGUUAACUGAGGAGUAAAAGGAAGGGUCUGGAAAAGGUGUAAGCUUCUGAUGUAGAAGCAUAAACUUGGUUAACUGAGGAGUAAAAGGCAGGGCCUGGAAAAGGUGUAAACUUCUGAUGUAGAAGAAUAAACUUGGUUAACUGAGGAGUAAAAGGCAGGGUCCGGAAAAGGUGUAAGCUUCUGAUGUAGAAGAAUAAACUUGGUUAACUGAGGAGUAAAAGGCAGGGUCCGGAAAAGGUGUAAGCUUCUGAUGUAGAAGAAUAAACUUGGUUAACUGAGGAGUAAAAGGCAGGGUCUGGAAAAGGUGUAAGCUUCUGAUGUAGAAGAACAAACUUGGUUAACUGAGGAGUAAAAGGCAGGGUCCGGAAAAGGUGUAAGCUUCUGAUAAAUAUUUGACUGGGGUGGAAGAUCUCAUACAAGUCUUUAUUGGUGGAGAGCUCACAAGUCUACAUGGAGUAAUUUGAAGGAGAGAUGAGGAAAAAGAAGUUUGAGAGAAUUCUUUCGAAGGAAGCACUAUAAAAGGUGAUAUUCUGGCGACAUUAAUUUCAUUUUGUUGUAUCAAUGAAAAAUUUUGUUCUUUUAAAACAAGCACGUCUUUCACCGAGGCCAAUACUAUUCAGAAUCUGUAACCCUUGAAAAUAGAAGCAUUAAAUAUAGCUAGAUCUUGAGAAUGUUGCUUUUUGUGCAGGUGCUUGGUAUUUAUUUCUAUUUCAUCCGACGCUUUGUCCUCCCCUUUCAUAUCAUGCCCAAUUGUUCAACAAUAUGCCAAUUUAGAAUUUAAAUUUUAUCUAAUAUAAUAUUUGAUUGGAUUCUAUAAA